rnacentral:lncRNA from 12 species
AAAUUCAAUGAAUAUUAUUGACCACUUGCUAUUUUCUAGGCAGCAUGCUGGGACACUGAAGACACAAAGAUGCCCUAGUCUGUCCAGGCUGAGAAAAAACGAAAGAAGGAAAGAAGGAAAGAAAGAAGGAAAGAAAAGUAAGAAAAGAAAGAAAGAAAGAAAGAAAGAAAGAAAGAAAGGAAAGAAAGAAAGAAAGAAAGAAAGAAAGAAAGAAAGAAAGAAAGAAAGAAAGAAAAGAAAUUGUAGCUGGCCUUCCCCUGCCACCAUGGGCUCACCACUGUCCAAGUUGUUGACAGUUUAAAUUAAACACCAUCAACUCACCAAUAAAUUGGAUGGGACAGAGUUAGGUCUCGAGAUUCCUGUGAACCUAUGGAGUUCAACCCCGCCAAGCCCUGUGAUGAUUUUACGAAGCAUCAUUUCUUAAUGUGAAGAGACAGGCGAGCAUCAUCUAGACCCUUCAUAGCACAGAUUUCUGUUUUCUAGUCUCUUCUGCCCAAUGCUCCCAGAGACACUUCUGCUCUACAAAAUGUUCUGUUCUUUCUUUGCCCUGCACACUAUUGUGUGGGCUGCUUGGGUGGUUAGUCAUUACAGGAGUCUUUUUUUUUUUUUUCUUCACAGAAAAGGAGACAUUUCAGAGGUUUAUCUUUGUCCCCUGUUCACUUUUCUGACAGGGGAAGUAUAGGUACACACGUGGCAGAAAGAAAGAAGUGUUCCUGGAAGCCCUGGGAUGUGGGUCUGCACUUGCUCCUGUGAAAGCUGGGGUAUAAUUACAGAUGCCCUGCCCUGCGGUGCUCUCAGCAGAGCUCCUGGGAAAGGAAGAGGUUUGUAAACAGACAGCACCUAUGGAACUCUGUGCUUUCGAUUAUUCAGGAUCUCCACCAGCUUUGCUUGCAAGUGAUGGCUAAAAGACAAAACCUCCAGAGGGCUCAGAUGCUCAGGAAAAAAGAAGAGAGAAAAGCCAUAUGUUAGUAGUAUCUUUUCCUCGGUCUCUGCCUCAUGCACCCUUCUUAUGAGGGAUAAAAAUAUUACCUGGCGUAAGAUGUCCACCCCCACUUACCCCCAGACUUCUGUACUUAGAACAAGAUUUGAGGAAAAGCGAGCAUGAGCGUCACCCCCUUCUGAGGCCUUCUUAACAGACUUGCAAAAUGGUACCUUAAGGUCUAGGGAGAUAAAUGAUUUUAAAGCAUAUUAAAACCCACAAAUGCCAUGCAAAUAGAUGUUACAGGAAAACAGAGCACUGUGAGAGCUAAUGACCUCAGAGCUUGCAGGUCUCAAGUAGCCUCUGUGAAAGGUCAAUUAAUACAGGAGGGAGGAUUAUGGCCAGGAGCUGCCUCUGCAUCUGCACAGGUGAGCAGGAGAAACAGCAGCCACCGGCGCUCACCUUCUCUCCCGGUGCCAACGCCAGCUCAUUCGUGAUGCAGCCCAAGCAGCUGGUGUCAGAGGCAUGUCUUUGUAAACAUCUCUACUUUCUAAAAGAGAACAUAAUUCUGCUCCCCUGGUGUAUUUCUUCACUUAUAGCUGUCUGAAUUGAAAAGGCAGAUGUUUUAUUUGGGGAAUUGACUGCAAGGGUGAUUGCUUUCAGGUGAAACAGUUAAUAAAUUAAAAUUUAGGGCGCA